CUAUACUUUGUCCCUAUAAAUUUCAUACAUUAUCCAGUGACGCUAGAGUUGUCUGAUGCCUGUAAGUCCUUAGCUGAACUUUCUUGUACAAUAUUGCAUUAUCACUACUUCAUAACCCUAUGUCAUCUCAGGAGAAAUCAUGUGUUACACUUAAGGGCAAUCCUUAUUUUUGUCUACAGAACACACAAAUAUGGACAUAUUUAUUUUCAUCCAAAUAAAUCAUUGACAAAAAUAUUAAACAAAUCAUCAGAUACACAAUGUAUGUAGAAAAAAAAAAAAAAAAAAAAAAAAAGAGAUAGUUUAAAUAUUGAGAAAACUUUAUUCUUUGUCUCCUCAGACAUGAAGGGUCAUAUUAAAAAGAGUUUACAGUUCAGCCUGUCAUGUCUUUUGGGGAGGAAAAAAAAAAAAAAAGAACAACAAC